rnacentral:rRNA from 1 species
CCUACGGGAGGCAGCAGUGAGGAAUAUUGGUCAAUGGGCGAGAGCCUGAACCAGCCAAGUCGCGUGAGGGAAGACGGUCCUAGGGAUUGUAAACCUCUUUUGUCGGGGAGCAAAAGACGCCACGCGUGGCGUUCCGAGAGUACCCGAAGAACAAGCAUCGGCGAACUCCGUGCCAGCAGCCGCGGUAAUACGGAGGAUGCGAGCGUUAUCCGGAUUGAUUGGGUUUAAGGGGUGAGGGGGCGGAAGAUCAAGUCAGCGGGAAAAUGAAGGGGCUAAACCUCGUCGAGCCGUUGAAACUGGUUUUCUUGAGUGAGCGAGAAGUAUGCGGAAUGCGUGGUGUAGCGGUGAAAUGCAUAGAUAUCACGCAGAACUCCGAUUGCGAAGGCAGCAUACCGGCGCUCAACUGACGCUCAUGCACGAAAGUGUGGGUAUCGAACAGGAUUAGAUACCCGUGUAGUC